GGGAGUAGCUCAGUUGGUUAGAGCGCCGGCCUGUCACGCCGGAGGCUGCGGGUUCGAGUCCCGUCACUCCCACCA
rnacentral:tRNA from 1 species